GCCAAGAGAAGGGAUUCUCAGGCAUCACACAACUGGUGGCCAUCAGGCCCACACACAGCAUGCCACACGGAUGCAGCUGAGGGACGUGGGUCUGACUGCUGGUGCCACUGCAUCCUAACUCUGGGACUUUGGCGAAUUCAUAGUGAACUUGCUCGAAGCAGGCAACCCCCUCUUCCCGAAGCAACACACCUUCACCCAGAAUAGAGCUUCUGCAACACAAGCUGGAGGGGGGAAGAGGAACUAGUGACCUGCUCCUC